rnacentral:lncRNA from 1 species
UCUUCUUUCUCUAGUUCAUCAUGGUGGAAUGGUUCCUAACAAAGACUUGCUCAAAGUGUUCGAUGGGAAGGAUUUCCUUGGCUGGAAAUCCCAGAUGGAGCACUUUUACAUGGAGAAGAAUCUCAGGAGAUCUUUGAGCUUUGCUAGGCCAAUAUUGACCCAGACAAGGAUUGGAAAAUGCAACACAUGAGCAUUUGGAAUUCUUGGGUGAGUAAUUUGAAAGCUGUAUCAGCUUAAGACCAAAUUUGGUGGUCCAAGAUAUUGUCAGCUCUUUAAGCACCCACCAAUGGGUGGUCACUAACAAUCGGUUGAAGACAUUCCUUUCAAUCUUGCCAUGUUUGCGAACUCUUCAACCAAGGUCUCUGUCUGGCACAUGCUCGGGCUGCACCAGGAGGGUGUAGCCAAGGAUCGUAAGCGCAAUGGGUAGAACCACAACAAAAAGAAGGACACGAAGUGCAAGAAUAAUGGCUUGUGUAAUAUCUGCAAAAAUCCUGGCCACUUUGCACUGGACGUGAUUCCAGAGGGUAAGCAUAGUGAUGACUACUCCCACAGCGUGUGUGGCAUGGGCACCAUCAAAGUCCCCUUUACUUAUGGUUGCGGCUGCCAUAGCAGUCUAUUAUGUCCCUGGCAUCAAGAAAUCCUUCUUCUCUGUUGGUAAGGUUGUUGAUUGCAACAUGGAGCUCUUAUGCAAUGCUUGAUUCUGAAGAAUGAGAGUGUUAUUGCUAGUGGGAGGCAUUACGCUGGUCUCUACUGGCUCAAUGUAGAAUUGGAAUUCCCUACUCAACCCUUCUUAAUGUGGGAUCCCAGCAUCCUGUUGACCUCCAGACCUGGCAUCAACAGCUUGGACACACAGGCAUGGUUGAUAGUCUGCACGUCACUUCACAACAGCUGAGGUUUUGUGAGCUGUGUAUUCUUGCAAAGCUGUUUCCCUUCAAGACUAGUGUUGUUGUAAGAGCUAGAGAUUCUAGAGCUCGUCCACUCUAAUGUGUGUAUGAUGCCCGCGAGCAUAAAAUUUACUUUGUGGACAAUUUUUCCCGCA